GACGAACGCUGGCGGCGUGCCUAAUACAUGCAAGUUGAGCGCUGAAGGUUGGUACUUGUACCAACUGGAUGAGCAGCGAACGGGUGAGUAACGCGUGGGGAAUCUGCCUUUGAGCGGGGGACAACAUUUGGAAACGAAUGCUAAUACCGCAUAAAAACUUUAAACACAAGUUUUAAGUUUGAAAGAUGCAAUUGCAUCACUCAAAGAUGAUCCCGCGUUGUAUUAGCUAGUUGGUGAGGUAAAGGCUCACCAAGGCGAUGAUACAUAGCCGACCUGAGAGGGGGAUCGGCCACAUUGGGACUGAGACACGGCCCAAACUCCUACGGGAGGCAGCAGGAGGGAAACUUCGGCAAUGGGCGAAAGUCUGACCGAGCAACGCCGCGUGAGUGAAGAAGGUUUUCGGAUCGUAAAACUCUGUUGGUAGAGAAGAACGUUGGUGAGAGUGGAAAGCUCAUCAAGUGACGGUAACUACCCAGAAAGGGACGGCUAACUACGUG
rnacentral:rRNA from 1 species